UUGGGGACUGCCCCCACAAAGGCUACUGUACAGUGAAUAUAACAGCCAGCCUUGCAAAAGGUUACAGACUUGACUUUUAACUCAUUGUAAGGUUUUGUGCAAGAUUGCAGUAUGUGCAGAUUUGACAUUACGGCAUUUGGAUUUUCUACACUUUCACAUACAUACCAGAGUUGAACUACCAGACUACCAUAUGGUCACACAGUAGUCAAAAAAUGGGUCAUUGUCUGGUCAUGGAAUUCUGACCAGCCAAGUGCAACCAAAGUCAACACAGUAAAUCUGAAUGUGACAUAAACAGUUACUAUUUCUGAUGAUGGAAGCAAUCGAUGUGUGAGUGCAGCCCGAGUAAA